AGAGUUUGAUCCUGGCUCAGAUUGAACGCUGGCGGCAUGCCUUACACAUGCAAGUCGAACGGCAGCACGGGAGCUUGCUCCUGGUGGCGAGUGGCGAACGGGUGAGUAAUAUAUCGGAACGUACCCUAGAGUGGGGGAUAACGCAGCGAAAGUUGCGCUAAUACCGCAUACGAUCUACGGAUGAAAGUGGGGGAUCGCAAGACCUCAUGCUCAUGGAGCGGCCGAUAUCUGAUUAGCUAGUUGGUAGGGUAAAAGCCUACCAAGGCUUCGAUCAGUAGCUGGUCUGAGAGGACGACCAGCCACACUGGAACUGAGACACGGUCCAGACUCCUACGGGAGGCAGCAGUGGGGAAUUUUGGACAAUGGGCGCAAGCCUGAUCCAGCAAUGCCGCGUGAGUGAAGAAGGCCUUCGGGUUGUAAAGCUCUUUUGUCAGGGAAGAAACGGUUCUGGUUAAUACCUGGGGCUAAUGACGGUACCUGAAGAAUAAGCACCGGCUAACUACGUGCCAGCAGCCGCGGUAAUACGUAGGGUGCAAGCGUUAAUCGGAAUUACUGGGCGUAAAGCGUGCGCAGGCGGUUA
rnacentral:rRNA from 1 species